ensembl:lncRNA
CUCUCCCCGCUGUCAGCUAGUGCAAACAUCUGUAACGUGGGCCUGAUGAGACACAGUGAGCUAUCUGAAGGAAUUGAUGUGCUGGACGACAACGGGAACGUUGUGGGUUCCUCCAAAAUUGCUGCAAGACACGUGCGUGUUUUUUUCCUUUGCAUUCUCAGCUAGUUUUUACUCGACUGCACUGAAUAUGUUUUUAGACUCGCUGGCUGUGUUGGAAGCUGAUGGUGGGAAAAUGUAUAGUUUCCUGCUCGGCUCCUGUCACUCUGCACACAUCUGAUCCCAUCAAAGAAACAAUUAAAUCCAACUCAUUGCAGUAUUUGCAAUGAAGCGCGUGCACAAUGUUCUCGUCUUUUCCCCCAGGCGAUCACCGAGACCGCCUUCACGCGCGUGGUCCUCCCGAUGCCGAUCUUUGUCCUGCCCCCCAUCAUCAUGUCCUACCUAGAGAGGCUGCGAUUCCUGCAGAGCAACCGGCGGUUACUGCUUCCCGUCCACAGCCUCGUGUGCCUGGUUACCUUCGGCCUCUCUCUGCCCGUGGCCAUCAGCCUGUUCCCCCAGAUGUCUCAGAUCGAGGUGUCUUGCCUGGAGCCGGAGAUCGCCAUGGCAACAGAUUGCAAAGUGUUGACCUACAACAAGGGUUUAUGAUGGACGCCGUGGUGAAGGAGAGAGGAGAGCGCGAACAAAGGGGAACGAGGAUGGAAAUGAGGGUCCAUUGUCUACGGCUGUCGGUUCAGGAGCCGCCAGCCUGUAGAUCCUCAAUACUAACACAGGGUUGCUUUUUAUUCAACGCUCAAAGAUCAUAG